rnacentral:sRNA from 1 species
GCACUCAUCGGGGAAGGGUGAGAACCUUCGACUAAGGUUCGAUUCGAGCGAAAGCGAGAGAACGUUGCCACAGGCAACGGCCCGAAGGGUGAGGAGCGAAGCGACGAAUAAUCCUUUCCCCACCACCA